AUUGAACGCUAGCGGGAGGCUUUACACAUGCAAGUCGAACGAGUGGCGGACGGGUGAGUAAUGUCUGGGAAACUGCCCAGUAGCGGGGGAUAACUACUGGAAAGAGUAGCUAAUACCGCAUACUAUUGGAUGGGCCGAUAUGGGAUUAGCUAGUUGGUGGGGUAAAGGCUCACCAAGGCGGCGAUCCCUAGCUGGUUUGAGAGGAUGACCAGCCACACUGGAACUGAGACACGGUCCAGACUCCUACGGGAGGCAGCAGUGGGGAAUAUUGCACAAUGGGCGCAAGCCUGAUGCAGCCAUGCCGCGUGUAUGAAGAAGGCCUUAGGGUUGUAAAGUACUUUCAGUGGGGAGGCGUUACCGGCAGAAGAAGCACCGGCUAACUCCGUGCCAGCAGCCGCGGUAAUAC
rnacentral:rRNA from 1 species